rnacentral:lncRNA from 1 species
AACACGCUGUCGGUCAGCUUCAUGGCGGCGGGUGGGGAAGGCAGCCGGGACUGGCAGCGGGCGGGCUGCUGAGGGGCCAACCCCUGGUGGCGGCGGUGUUGAGCCGGUGGCUAGCGAGAAGUCGGCCGGCAGUGGGGCCGCCUCCUUUUCUUCCUCCUGCUUGGACGACUGUCUUCCGCCUCAACUGUGGAGCCUCGCCGACCGUUAGUCCUCACAGACACCUCAGGGGCAACCGACGCAGCGCCACCUCAUCGUGUCCGCCAUCUUGGGGCGACGGCCAGAAGUCCAGGGCUAGGAGCCUCAGCCGGCGGACGCCAGGAAACAGCCAAGAACUGAACCAAAAUACAAACAACAUAAACUACCACUUGAUGAGAAGAACUUCAAAGUCAAAUUGCAAAAGGUGACUAAAAAAGGGGAGUACUUUCAGCCGUUUUCAAAAUAAUCUAUGAUAUGUACUGGAAAACUUCUAAUAAUCCUUGUCAUUUUACAACUUUCCCACAGUUAGAUCAUCAGCAAAUGUCACUUGGAUCCCUAGCUAAAUUGUUCUUCCCAGAAAAUAGUUAUCUCCACUAUGGAAAGUAUUUUAUCAGAAGAAUUCGUAGAAGUAGAAUCUGUUUGUCUUCAGUUAAACAAAAGAAGAACCUCAUUGCUUUCCAACUGGGCCCCGGCCAUUUUCCAGUUGAAACAUCAAAUAUUUUAUUUGUGUCUUUCACUGCCAAUUAAAGGGCAACAGAAAUGGUACAGAAAUAUCUGAAUGAAAUGCUCAUGAAAGGAUUAAGAAAGUCUGCAGUUGAGCCUGGAGCCAGCAAAAGACAUCAUCACUAAAAGUAUAUGCAUGACCCGCAUUUGUUGCCUUUAUGGUCCUUACCCAAGAUAUUUGAAUUCACCAGAAUGGUCUUAAUAUGGUAUUGUAAGUACCUGGAUCUGAAAACCAUUAAGUAUGAGAGUGCGCUGUAUUGGUGAUGCCAGUUUGUGGACUCCUUAUGUAAAUAAAUGAAGGACAAGUUAAAAACUGCAGUCACUCAUGUGAAAUAUAAAAGGCUGGCAGAAUACGGCUAAAUGUCGAGGUCUAGCCCAAUGUGUGAGAUUUAGAGAAAUCAUGUAUUCCAAUAAAAUCAGAUAUACUCCUGAAA